UGCAUCGGCCGGGAAUCGAACGAACCCAGGCCGCCCGCGUGGCAGGCGAGCAUUCUACCACUGAACCACAGAUGC